CCACCAGCACCACUGCAGGAUCAUGAAAGAGGAUGUCAAAGCAGAUGAAGAGGCCAAACUUCCCAGCAAAAGGUGUAUCGAAUGUUAUGACUUCAACUUCUGGAGGUGUGUCAAAGGAUUGCUCAAAGAAAAGGUUUUGUUUGUGGUAGCGUGCAAUUAGAAGGCCGUCUGACCUGUAUGAAAGAGGAUAUUUUAAACAGGUCACUAACAGCUCUUUUUCACUGAUGCAGUCAGUUCAGGAUAUAUUACUGAAUGAUAUUUAUGUCAUAACAAAAGCGUGAGGAAAAACAUAAUCCGAGCAAAUAAUUUUGGGCACAAUGAAAUUCCUCGCGCAUAAAUUCGACAACUGUGCGCGUGGAACUCUGCAGCUGCACACACAAAGAAGCCAUCACACACAUGAGUGUCUGCUCUGCAUGCGCUGCUGCUGUUUCAAUCAAAGGCAGGGAGCUCUCUGCGCUCGGAGAGAAAUCCUGUUCGUGCGAAUCAACUCACUUUUAACUUUGUUUGAAGGCGGAGCCCAAAGGAGGACGGCCUCCUAAUGAGAUUAGUCACUUUGAUCGACACUUCAGGCUGCUGCGUUAAACUGAGUUACACUGUGGCAGCAACAGAAACGCUGUUUUAAGCCAUAUUUGUUUACAAUUUGAAAAGUAAAGUUUGCCGAACUAAUUAUGAGCUGUUAUCGUUGCUGUGCAGCAGUGGAAAUACUGAAAACUGUCACUGGAUUACUUUAAUGUUGAAGAAAUAUUUUAAACCAGAAAAUUCUGGUUCCAAAUCACCAUAAUGAGAAGCCCACGUCA